GUGAGGAAUAUUGGUCAAUGGGCGAGAGCCUGAACCAGCCAAGUCGCGUGAAGGAAGAAGGAUCUAUGGUUCGUAAACUUCUUUUGCAGGGGAAUAAAGUGCGGGACGUGUCCUGUUUUGUAUGUACCCUGAGAAUAAGGAUCGGCUAACUCCGUACCAGCAGCCGCGGUAAUACGGAGGAUCCGAGCGUUAUCCGGAUUUAUUGGGUUUAAAGGGUGCGUAGGUGGUUUGAUAAGUCAGCGGUGAAAGUUUGCAGCUUAACUGUAAAAAUGCCGUUGAAACUGUCGGACUUGAGUGUAAAUGAGGUAGGCGGAAUGCGUGGUGUAGCGGUGAAAUGCAUAGAUAUCACGCAGAACUCCGAUUGCGAAGGCAGCUUACUAAGCUACAACUGACACUGAAGCACGAAAGCGUGGGGAUCAAACAGGAUUAGAUACCCGUGUAGUCC
rnacentral:rRNA from 1 species